CCCUUAGAUGUUCUGUGCCGCACGCGCGCUACACUGAUGCAUUCAACGAGUUUCUUCCUGGUCCGAGAGGAAUGGGUAACCUUUUGAAAGUGCAUCGUGAUAGGGAUAGACUAUUGCAAUUAUUGGUCUUCAACGAGGAAUUCCUAGUAGACGUAGUUCAUCAGACUGCAUCGAUUACGUCCCUGCCCUUUGUACACACCGCCCGUCGCUCCUACCGAUUGAAUGCUCAGGUGAGCCAUUCGGACUUUCAUCAUGCUGGUUUCCAGUUUUGAUGAAGGAAAGUCUUGCGAACCUUAUCAUUUAGAGGAAGGAGAAGUCGUAACA
rnacentral:rRNA from 1 species